ACAGGUCUGGGCCAUUCACAGCACUCACAUCUUGCACCAGCUGGAGGCGACAGAAGAAGCUGAAAUCACAGCACCCUUCACGCUGCAGGACCAAACCCUGCUGGCAGCUGCCACAUUGUCCUGAACAACUUGUGCAAGCUUGGGGACUUACAAGUCUCUCCAAAGCCCUCUUGGAAGGGGGAGGGCAGUUGCAUCAAGAGGACAUUUUUCGCAGUAGAUCAUUGCCCUGCACUUGGACUUUUUGCUACAGCAAGUUUUGAUGGAGAAAUUGAGGUCUGGAAUACAGAAUCACAGAGCGCCUACUUCUACCUCAGAGAGCCUCAGCAGAAAGGGUAUCAUUUGCUUCAGGAUGACUAAUGGAGAGUUAUUUAUUAAAUUGUAGGCCAUGGGAGUUAAUAGGCCUGUUUUGCAUGUUGCAUAGUUGUACAGGUUCCAAGUUACACAUUCUUUUUUUCUCAUAAAAAGCAUUCAUCUUUAUUAAAGCCUUAAUGCUAAAUACGUCAGCAUCUCAGCUGCUCUCCAACAUUUUUCUAUUUAUCUUCCGUAUCGCAGUUAAUGCAACUGGUUAGGAAUGGGAAGAGGCUGACAGGGGGUGGCAUCUUUGUUGAAAUAAUAUAUUGUAAACUAGGUGCUUCACACAGAAAACUUUCAUUCUUCUUCUGAGAUCAUCU